rnacentral:rRNA from 1 species
CCUACGGGGGGCUGCAGUCGAGAAUCAUUCACAAUGGGGGAAACCCUGAUGGUGCGACGCCGCGUGGGGGAAUGAAGGUCUUCGGAUUUUAAACCCCUGUCAUGUGGGAGCAAAUUAAAAAGAUAGUACCACAAGAGGAAGAGACGGCUAACUCUGUGCCCGCAGCCGCGGUAAUACAGAGGUCGCAAGCGUUGUUCGGAAUCACUGGGCGUAAAGCGUGCGUAGGCUGUUUCGUAAGUCGUGUGUGAAAGGCGCGGGCUCAACCCGGGUACGGGACAUGAUACUGCGAGACUAGAGUAAUGGAGGGGGAACCGGAAUUCUCGGUGUAGCAGUGAAAUGCGUAGAUAUCGAGAGGAACACUCGUGGCGAAGGCGGGUUCCUGGACAUUAACUGACGCUGAGGCACGAAGGCCAGGGGAGCGAAAGGGAUUAGAUACCCCUGUAGUC